rnacentral:tRNA from 1 species
AGCGGCAUAGCUCAGUUGGUAGAGCGUGCACCUGAUAAGUGUGAGGUCGGUGGUUCAAAUCCGCUUGUCGCUACCA